GUAAUAAAGGCUUAAGUUGCAAGCGCUGGUUUUGUAAGCCGGAGAGUGAAAAUAGGUAUUUCUUAUUGCU
rnacentral:tRNA from 1 species